AUGGAGUUUCCUGAACAUGGAGUUUCCCAUGAACCUGCGUCCUUCACUACGGGCACAGCCGACGGGUUGCCUGAGACUGAGAAGAACGCAGGGGAGUCCGAGAAUACCUAUAUUCUGCGGCCCAUUUUCCAGCAAAGGCGGGUUCAGACCUUCUGUGGUUAAAGAAUGUAUCCAUGCUGUUCUUAAGGAGGAGCUAGCAAAUGCUGAGUACUCCCCAGAAGAAAUGCCUCAGCUCACAAAACGUUUAUCAGAAACCAUUAAAGACAAAUUAAAAGAAAUGGGAUUUGACCGAUACAAAAUGGUGGUACAAGUAGUGAUUGGAGAACGAAGAGGUGAAGGAGUAUUCAUGGCCGCUCGCUGUUUCUGGGGUGCUGACACUGACAACUACGCUUACGCUGUUUUCAUGAAUGACAGUUUAUUCUGUGUUGUAGAGGCAUUCGGCUGUUUCUACUAUUGAAUCUUUGAAAAGUUGGGUAAAAAUAUGACCAUGAAGAAAUAUAAACUUUUUUAUAUUGUUAAGUAUCUCAACAAAAUAAAGAUAAUUUGGCAUUUUGGCAA